UACAGAGGUCUCGAGCGUUGUUCGGAUUCAUUGGGCGUAAAGGGUGCGUAGGCGGCGAGGUAAGUCAGGUGUGAAAUCCCGGGGCUCAACUCCGGAACUGCACUUGAUACUGCCUUGCUAGAGUACUGGAGAGGGAACUGGAAUUUACGGUGUAGCAGUGAAAUGCUUAGAUAUCGUAAGGAAGACCAGUGGCGAAGGCGAGUUCCUGGACAGUUACUGACGCUGAGGCACGAAGGCCAGGGGAGCAAACGGG
rnacentral:rRNA from 1 species